GAUGAACGCUGGCGGCGUGCCUAAUACAUGCAAGUCGAGCGAACGGACGAGAAGCUUGCUUCUCUGCUGUUAGCGGCGGACGGGUGAGUAACACGUGGAUAACCUACCUAUAAGACUGGGAUAACUUCGGGAACCCGGAGCUAAUACCGGAUAAUAUUUUGAACCGCAUGGUUCAAAAGUGAAAGACGGUCUUGCUGACACUUAUAGAUGGUUCCGCGCUGCAUUAGCUAGUUGGUAAGGUAACGGCUUACCAAGGCAACGAUGCAUAGCCGACCUGAGAGGGUGAUCGGCCACACUGGAACUGAGACACGGUCCAGACUCCUACGGGAGGCAGCAGUAGGGAAUCUUCCGCAAUGGGCGAAAGCCUGACGGAGCAACGCCGCGUGAGUGAUGAAGGUCUUCGGAUCGUAAAACUCUGUUAUUAGGGAAGAACAUAUGUGUAAGUAACUGUGCACAUCUUGACGGUACCUAAUCAGAAAGCCACGGCUAACUACGUG
rnacentral:rRNA from 1 species